UACAGAGGGGGCAAGCGUUGUUCGGAAUUACUGGGCGUAAAGGGCGCGUAGGCGGCCUUCUAAGUCGAACGUGAAAUCCCCGGGCUCAACCCGGGAACUGCGUCCGAUACUGGGAGGCUUGAAUCCGGGAGAGGGAUGUGGAAUUCCAGGUGUAGCGGUGAAAUGCGUAGAUAUCAGGAAGAACACCCGUGGCGAAAGCGGCUCUCUGGAACGGUACUGACGCUGAGACGCGAAAGCGUGGGGAGCGAACAGG
rnacentral:rRNA from 1 species